rnacentral:rRNA from 1 species
UACGAAGGGGGCUAGCGUUGUUCGGAAUUACUGGGCGUAAAGCGAACGUAGGCGGUGUUCCAUGUCAGAGGUGAAAGCCUUGGGCUCAACUCCAGAAUUGCCUUUGAAACGGGAACGCUUGAGUCCGAGAGAGGGUGGCGGAAUUCCUAGUGUAGAGGUGAAAUUCGUAGAUAUUAGGAAGAACACCAGUGGCGAAGGCGGCCACCUGGCUCGGUACUGACGCUCAGGUUCGAAAGCGUGGGGAGCAAACAGG